UACGGGGGGAGCAAGCGUUGUUCGGAUUUACUGGGCGUAAAGGGCGCGUAGGCGGCGUAACAAGUCACUUGUGAAAUCUCCGGGCUUAACUCGGAGCGGUCAAGUGAUACUGUUGUGCUAGAGUGCGGAAGGGGCUACUGGAAUUCUCGGUGUAGCGGUGAAAUGCGUAGAUAUCGAGAGGAACACCUGCGGCGAAGGCGGGUAGCUGGGCCGACACUGACGCUGAGGCGCGAAAGCGUGGGGAGCAAACAGG
rnacentral:rRNA from 1 species